CACGACCGGGAUCGCCACCCAUCAGCGCGAUGCGCCCAUGGGUGCCGUUGUG
rfam:Rhodobacter sphaeroides 2.4.1 chromosome 1, complete sequence.